rnacentral:rRNA from 1 species
UACGUAGGGUGCAAGCGUUGUCCGGAAUUAUUGGGCGUAAAGAGCUCGUAGGCGGUUUGUCGCGUCUGCUGUGAAAACCCGAGGCUCAACCUCGGGCCUGCAGUGGGUACGGGCAGACUAGAGUGCGGUAGGGGAGAUUGGAAUUCCUGGUGUAGCGGUGGAAUGCGCAGAUAUCAGGAGGAACACCAAUGGCGAAGGCAGAUCUCUGGGCCGUAACCUGACGCU